UACAGAGGUGGCAAGCGUUGUUCGGAAUUACUGGGCGUAAAGGGCGCGUAGGCGGUUCGUUAAGUCCUGUGUGAAAUCCCCCGGCUCAACUGGGGAACUGCACAGGAAACUAGCGGGCUUGAGUUCGGGAGAGGGAAGCGGAAUUCCGGGUGUAGCGGUGAAAUGCGUAGAUAUCCGGAGGAACACCGGUGGCGAAGGCGGGCUCCUG
rnacentral:rRNA from 1 species